CAGGUUCCAACUUGCCAUUCCCCUUACCUCUCUUCUUUGAUUAACAAAGAGUACAAUGAUUAAAAGAAUGAGAUUUGUAGUGAAUCCAAUCCCAACUCCACCCCGUAUAAGCUGUGUUGACAUUUAACCUUUAUGCCUCAGGUUCCUCAUCUGUCACAUGGGGUUCAAGUACCUACCUCGUAGCUUGUGUGAAUUGGAUGAAUUAAUAUAUAAAGAGAGCUCAGCAAAGCUUGGAGCAUGGUAAGGGAUCGAUAAACUAUUAUACUAUUAAUGGAUAGGCUCUUACACCUCUGCAACACCAACAAAUUCUUCGCUUGGGUUUUUAUUCAUCUAUAUAUAUCUGUUCUCAUGUAUCAACUGUAUAAUUAAUUCUGUGUCCCUCAACAAACUGCAACCCUCUCUAGAACCUUGCCACCCAAAAUGUGGCUCACGGACCAGCACCUUGGCAUCCCUGGGACCUGGUAGCAAUGCAGAAACUUAAGCCCAUUGCAGAUUCGACUGCGCGGGAACCACCUGAGAAACUAUAGAAAGUACACAUCCUAGAUUUAAGACUGAAUCACAAGUCGCACGCUCUUCAUACGACUGCAGAUCGUGUUCCUACUACGGCGGAACGCCGGUCUGGAGCCCAUCGCUGGUAGAGUGCCUUGUUUGUCCUUGCUUAGGAGAGGACUCCUGCCAGAAAACAGGCAACACAGAAAUGUCAACCUCUGUAAAGGCGGGCGGAGCACUGGCAAGGGAGCACGAGAGCGCCAGGAAGAACUAGGAAAGAACACAGGAUGUCUCGACCUCUCGUGCAGAACAAGAAGCUGCAAAUGGAUAUAAAGCUCCAAACCCGGUAGCGGGGACACCCGGCCAGCGGCUUAACGGAAAGGGCAAACGAGUUGCCUGAAUUCUGGACUGUGGCCACUACACAGCUACACAUCGCAGCCCUGAGACUAUCUGCCUGGCGGGGUGUGCAGCUCCACGGAAGGGCAUUUAAGAGCCUUGGGAGGCCCUGGUGGCAUCCCCAGCACCGCGCUAGGGAAAAACCGGCUCCGGUGGCCCGGUGCUUGUCACUUCCAGGAAAUUUGCACAUAGGACCCAGGAAUACUGAAGUUUAUUGGUGUAUUGCUUGCAAUUUUAAACAACACUUAUUCACAGCCCACCAGAGAAAAGGAUAUGAGAGACUAAAUACAACCAAGACAACCCUGGGAAUGCGAAGGUGAAAUGCUCAGUCAGGGAUCCCCCUCCAUCUAACUGGGUCGGGCAGCGUCCCCUUGGUGAUUUUUCGUUUUUGAGAUGACUUACUUGAAAUAGCAUUCUUAUUAUUUUUCUCAAAAAAGAAGAAAGAAAUGGUAAAUCAUAGGAGUGUUUAACAAAGUUGAAAUAUACUUCAGUCAUCAAACAAAAACUGUUAAAGUAUAACUUUCUUUCAAAAAAUGAACUUGGAGCCUGGGGAUGUAGCUCACUGGUAGAGCACUUGUCUAGUAUGCCCAAGGCCCUGGGUUCAUCCUGAGUACUGCAAAAACAAAACAAAACAAAAAACCCAAUAAUUUGCAUUUUUCCAUUGCCUUUAUCUCCUAGCACUACAUAAAAUGGUAAAUGAAAUGACUCUUCAAAUAAUGGAAAGCAAAAAUAGCUUUGCUACUUAAAAGCUACAAUUAAUUAAUAAUUCUUUCACUUUGUAUAGUCAAGGUACAUUAUAAGAUUGUCUUGCUGUAAGAUGGUGUUUAAAAUCUUAUUUUAAUGUUGAUCUGAGAAUAGAAUGGAACAGACAGUUUGUACCCCAGUUAGGAGCAGUUAUUUCCUAACUUGAAACUCAACUUUGAUUUUAUUUUUUAACCAAAGAAAUAAAUGGGAGUAAUUUGAGCUCAACAGGAUAAAUCUCUCAGCUGAAUUCUCAAAAUUAUUUCAAGAUUAUAUUUUGUCACUUAUAAAUAAAAGGUACAAAAUUGCAAUAAGCAAUAACCUUACAGAACAAUGUAAUGAAUCCAGCCAGAAUUUAUUUUUCCUCAGAUGCAUAAGCAAUUUAAAAAACACAUGUGUACCCUUUAUUCCUGUAGUGUUAUACCAAUGAGGAAACAGUAACUUGUCAAAGAUACAUUGGGUGAAUUCUUUAUUAAUUCAAAAACAUUUUAGGAAAGUGUAAUGCUUAUGCAUUUUACAAUGAUAUAUCCAUAGGUUUCCACAACAUAGUUAAAUGAAAACAGCUGUUUGAUUUAUUUUGAAAAUUCAAAUAUAUUUAGUUUGAGACUUCUGGAUUUUCUUACAUUGUUGUCAUGCUCAAAUUCUAUUACAUGGUGAAAAUUCUAGCAUUUUGGGGAAGUCUACGAUUGUACAUAGGUAAAAUGAUAAAAUAGAUUCAAGGAAAGGGGAAUAAAAAUUCAGAAUAAUUUAAAUUGGAAAAAUAAUCUUGAUUAUCUAUGCAAUUGAUGAGUAACCACAGUUAUUUUGGCAUUGCAAAAUAACCAAGUGUGGUGCCUUUUAAGAUGUAUUCAUGCACUCAAAACUUUGUAGUCCACUAAUAAAUAUUGGUGGAGUCCAAAAUAUGGAUGUAGAUUACUAAAUAUAAUGAACAUGGUAGUAAGAAAUUAUACACAUUCAAUAUGAUAAAUUUUAUAGAAUCAAACACAUUAAAAUUCUUUUUAGUAUUUAGCAAACAUCUUAAAAUCAUAUACAAGAAACAGUGUAUUUAUGACAAAUAGGUAAAGCCAGGGGUGAAAAUUUCAAGUCUUUUACAAUAUUUCAAUAUUGUGUACAUUGAUCAGUGGAGGGCAUAUAGAAAAGCACUAAGCAAAAUGAUUCCCAAUUUAAAUUACCCCUUAUUACAAUUAAUAAGAUUAAGAUCUUUAAUAUCCAAAAUAUGCAGAGGAAUAAGAUAAUUGCACAGGUAGUUCAAGGAAAAAAAUUUACUUUCGUCUAUUAUGCAAAAAUUCAAGGUAACACUGUUUUAGUUUUAUUCUCCCACUUUAUUUUCCAGUUCAUUGUAUUCAUACCAUUGGUCAGUCAUCCUUUAAUGAACCUAAUAUUAGUACUGAGAAACCCACUCAGAAUUUUUUUUAAGCUCAGUGUAAAUGUCCACUAAAUUUUCCUCCAAUACAACCUUGUAAAAAUGUAUUACUUUAUAGUGGAGAAACCUAACAAGCAGUCCCUCACCUCAGGUGAUCAAGGUCAACAUCAACAGCUAAGAAGAUCCCAAAGUUUGAGAAAGUCUCACAGCAAGAGGAGUCAUGACCAUGACAUGCACUUCUGGUAUCAUGGGACAAGAAUGGUACUUUCUCUCUGGUACUCCUUCCCCAAACCAUAACUACUCUCUAAUCUUGGAAAAGCAUCAGACAAAUCACAACAGAGGAACAGUCUGCAAAAUGCCUGACCAAUACUCUUCAAAACUGUUAAGGUCGGAAACAGGGAGAGAUGUAGAAACCCAGCUAAGAGGAGCCUAAGGAGACAUCCCAACUAAAUGUGAUAGAGUAUGGUAAAUGAGAUUCAGGGACAGAAAAAGACAUUAGAUUAAAAAAAAAAGGAAAUCUAAACAUAGACUUAAUCAAUAAUAUUAAUUGACGAAUGAAUAAUACCCUAUGGUGUGAUGUAUUUGAAGACAU